rnacentral:rRNA from 1 species
UAAAAUAAUUAAGGGCACACAAAGGAUGCCUUGGUAGUAAGAGCCGAUGAAGGACGUGGUAAGCUGCGAUAAGCCUAGAUAAGUUGCAAACGAACGUAAGAGUCUAGGAUUUCCGAAUGGAGCAAUCUAUUAAGAUGAAGUCUUAAUACGAAAGAGGGAACCGCGUGAACUGAAACAUCUAAGUAACGCGAGGAAAAGAAAGUAAAAACGAUACCCAAAGUAGCGGCGAGCGAAAUGGGUCAAGCCUAAACCUUAAACGUGUCAAGGAUACAGCCGUUGCGUUUAAGGGGUUGAGGGACAGAGUGCUGAAGAACUGUAAGCUAUUCAAUAUUGUAUAUCGCUUAACUAGAAUUAUCUGGAAAGGUAAACCGUAGAAGGUGAAAGUCCUGUAUGGGUACUCCGAUAUACGUAUAACUUUGAUCCCAAGUAACAUGGAACACGAGGAAUUCUGUGUGAAUCAGUGAGGACCAUAUCUCAUAAGGCUAAAUACUCUUACUAACCGAUAGCGCAUAGUACCGUGAGGGAAAGGUGAAAAGAACCCCGGGAGGGGAGUGAAAUAGAACCUGAAAUUGUGUGCUUACAAGCGGUCAGAGCCAGUAAUGGUGAUGGCGUGCCUUUUGGAGAAUGAUCCUGCGAGUUACGUUAAACGGCGAGGUUAAGUAUAACGGAGCCGUAGGGAAACCGAGUCUUAAUAGGGCGAUUUAGUCGUUUGGCGUAGACGCGAAACCUGGUGAUCUAAACCUGUCCAGGAUGAAGCUGUGGUAAGACACAGUGGAGGUCCUAACCCACCGCCGUUGAAAAGUUGGGGGAUGAGGUAGGUUUAGGGGUGAAAAGCCAAUCGAACUAGGAGAUAGCUCGUUCUCUCCGAAAUGCAUCUAGGUGCAGCCUUGAGUGUUCAAUUAUGGGGGUAGAGCACUGAAUGAUCUAGGGGGCGUAUUGCUUACUGAAAUCAAUCAAACUCCGAAUACCAUAAUUUAAAAGCUCAGGAGUGAGACCAUGGGAGUUAACUUCCAUCGUCGAAAGGGAAACAACCCAGACCACCAGCUAAGGUCCCUAAUUAUAACUAAGUGGGAAAGGAGGUGGAGAUUCACAAACAACUAGGAGGUUGGCUUAGAAGCAGCCACACCUUUAAAGAGUGCGUAAUAGCUCACUAGUCGAGAGUCUCUGCGCCGACAAUGUAACGGGGCUAAGUUAUAAACCGAAGCUGUGGAAUCCGUAAGGAUUGGUAGGAGAGCGUUCUGUAGGCCGUUGAAGGAGAAGGGUAACCGACUUUGGAGGUAUCAGAAGUGAGAAUGCAGGAAUAAGUAGCGAGAAAGGGGGCGAGAAUCCCCCUCGCCGGAAGACCAAGGUUUUCAGGGUAAAGCUUGUCUUCCCUGAGUAAGCCGGGACCUAAGCCCAGGCUAUAUUGCGUAGGCGAAUGGAAAACAGAUUAAUAUUUCUGUGCCAGUCAUAUAUUGUGAUGGAGGGACGCAGAAGGGUAUGCGCGCGGACGAACGGAAGUGUCCGUAUAAGCAUGUAGAGUGAUCUAAUAGGAAAAUCCGUUAGAUUAUACUUAAGGUGUGAUGUAUAGCCGUAAGGUUAAUGCGCAAAUCCCACGCUGCCGAGAAAAGCUUCUAGCGUUAAUGUAUGACUGCCCGUACUGUAAACCGACACAGGUGGUCAGGAUGAGAAAUCUAAGGCGGACAGGCUAACUCUCGUUAAGGAACUCUGCAAAAUAACCCCGUAACUUCGGGAGAAGGGGAGCCCUUAGAUGUUACUAGCUACGCGCUAGAAAGCAUUUGAGGGUCGCAGUGAAGAGGCUCAAGCAACUGUUUAACAAAAACACAGGUCUAUGCUAAGCUGUAAGGCGAUGUAUAUGGGCUGACACCUGCCCAGUGCCGGAAGGUUAAGAGGAGGAGUGAGAGCUCCGAAUUGAAGCCCCGGUGAACGGCGGCCGUAACUAUAACGGUCCUAAGGUAGCGAAAUUCCUUGUCGGGUAAGUUCCGACCUGCACGAAUGGUG